rnacentral:tRNA from 1 species
GGCCGAGUGGCGGAAUAGGCAGACGCGCCGGAUUCAAAAUCCGGUGAUGGCAACAUCGUGCCGGUUCGAUCCCGGCCUCGGCUACUA